CACAAGCGGUGGAGCAUGUGGUUUAAUUCGACGCAACGCGAAGAACCUUACCAGGGCUUGACAUCCCCUGACCGCGUAUGAAAGUACGUUUUCACCCUCGGGUGACAGGGAGACAGGUGGUGCAUGGUUGUCGUCAGCUCGUGUCGUGAGAUGUUGGGUUAAGUCCCGCAACGAGCGCAACCCCUACGUUUAGUUGCUAACGCGUGAAGGCGAGCACUCUAGACGAACUGCCGUUGACAAAACGGAGGAAGGUGGGGAUGACGUCAAAUCAUCAUGCCCCUUAUGUUCUGGGCUACACACGUGCUACAAUGGCCGGUACAGACGGACGCAAAGCCGCGAGGUGGAGCAAAUCCUAAAAAGCCGGUCUCAGUUCGGAUUGCAGGCUGCAAUUCGCCUGCAUGAAGUCGGAAUCGCUAGUAAUCGCAGGUCAGCAUACUGCGGUGAAUACGUUCCCGGGCCUU
rnacentral:rRNA from 1 species